CAGGCCUAACACAUGCAAGUCGAGCGGGUAGCAAUACCAGCGGCAAACGGGUGCGUAACGCGUAAGCAACCUGCCCACUACUGGGGGAUAGCCUUGCGAAAGCGGGGGUAAACCCGCAUGGUCCUUUUCUUUCACCUGGAAGGAUAGGUAAACAUUUAUGGGUAGUGGAGGGGCUUGCGUCUGAUUAGCUAGUUGGCGGGGUAAGGGCCCACCAAGGCGACGAUCAGUAGGGGUUCUGAGAGGAUUGGCCCCCACAUGGGUACUGAGACACGGACCCAACUCCUACGGGAGGCAGCAGUAGGGAAUAUUGGGCAAUGGAGGCAACUCUGACCCAGCCAUGCCGCGUGCAGGAUGAAGGCGCUCAGCGUUGUAAACUGCUUUUAACUGGGAAGAACGGCAUUUUUGCGAAGAUGUGUGACGG
rnacentral:rRNA from 1 species